UACGGAGGGUGCAAGCGUUAUCCGGAAUCACUGGGUUUAAAGGGUGCUUAGGCGGCUUUGUAAGUCAGGGGUGAAAGCCCGCAGCUUAACUGCGGAACUGCCUUUGAUACUACAGAGCUUGAAAGAGGUUGAGGUCAGCGGAACGUGACAUGUAGCGGUGAAAUGCAUAGAUAUGUCACAGAACACCAAUUGCGAAGGCAGCUGGCUGGGCCUACUUUGACGCUGAGGCACGAAAGCGUGGGGAGCGAACAGG
rnacentral:rRNA from 1 species